rnacentral:rRNA from 1 species
GACGAACGCUGGCGGCGUGCUUAACACAUGCAAGUCGAACGGACAGGCCCUGCUUUUGUGGGUUUCUCGAUUGGCGCACGGGUGAGUAACACGUGAGUAACCUGCCCUUGUCUUUGUGAUAACUUCAGGAAACAGGGGCUAAUACCGGAUAGAAGCUCCUGCUGCAUGGUGUGGAUUGGAAAGUUUCGGCGGUUGGGGAUGGACUCGCGGCUUAUCAGCUUGCUUGUGGGGUAGUGGCUUACCAAGGCUUUGACGGGUAGCCGGCCUGAGAGGGUGACCGGCCACAUUGGGACUGAGAGACGGCCCAGACUCCUACGGGAGGCAGCAGUGGGGAAUAUUGCACAAUGGGCGGAAGCCUGAUGCAGCAACGCCGCGUGCGGGAUGACGGCCUUCGGGGGGUAAACCGCUUUCGCCUGUGACGAAGCGUGAGUGACGGUAAUGGGUAAAGAAGCACCGGCUAACUACGUG